rnacentral:lncRNA from 1 species
UCUCUGUUCUUAUUCAAAGUCAUCUGAACUUCUCCUUAUUCAAAUUUCAAACCUUUUAUCUAUCUCUCUGUUCUUACAUUCACAGAGAGCAUACCCAGCCAACUCCUUACUCCCCUAAUCUCUUAUCUCUCAUACCUAGCCCUAAUUGGGUUCACUUGAAAAAAGCAGAAGCAGAAGAAGAAAUCGAAGAUCUAAGACCUUCUCCUCUUGGCUCUCCUCUUCCUCGGCACCUUGUUUCUGUUGAUUACACUUCCGCGGUUCAGAAAUGAUAAUUAAUUUUAUUGUUCUGCUUCUUAGUCUUGGGUAUCAAUAUAUCUAUAAUAUAAAACAGAGCAGAGAGAGAAAACAUAAAUGUCCCAUCUAAAGUUUACGUCAUCAUCUCUCUCUGUUCUUAUUCAAAGUCAUCUGAGCUUCUCCUUAUUCAAAUUUCAAACAUUUUAUCUAUCUCUCUGUUCUUACAUUCACAGAGAGCAUACACAGCCAACUCCUUACUCCCCUAAUCUCUUAUCUCUCAUACCUAGCCCUAAUUGGGUUAACUUGAAAAAAGCAGAAGCAGAAGAAGAAAUCCAAGAUCUAAGACCUUCUCCUCUUGGCUCUCCUCUUCCUCGGCACCUUGUUUUUGUUGAUUACACUUCCGCGGUUCAGAAAUGAUAAUUAAUUUUAUUGUUCUGCUUCUUAGUCUUGG